rnacentral:rRNA from 1 species
UACGUAGGGUGCAAGCGUUGUCCGGAAUUACUGGGCGUAAAGCGCGUGUAGGCGGUUGUCCAAGUUGGAUGUGAAAGCCUUGAGCUUAACUCAAGAAAUGCAUUCAGGACUGGAUGACUAGAGGACCGGAGAGGAUAGUGGAAUUCCCAGUGUAGUGGUGAAAUACGUAGAGAUUGGGAAGAACACCAGUGGCGAAGGCGGCUAUCUGGACGGUUUCUGACGCUAAGACGCGAAAGCGUGGGGAGCAAACAGG